CGUUCAUUUCUUUAACAUCGGGCGUGCGCACACAUGCCUUCAGAGAAGCUGGGAGAAGGAAGGAGGAAAGGAGAAGGAGUUGAAAGGAGAAGGGAAGUUUGGAUGAAGAGGAUGUCGAUUGGCUUGGAGAAUGGUGGGGUCCAGAGCGCUACUUGCUCCGCCACGAGGUUCUGUCCACUCGCCCUGCUGGAGUCCCCAAGAGGUGAUGCUAUGGAUGCGCUCAUGAGUAUUGUGACAUUUCUAGAAGAGUCAUCAGUCUUUGCUCUGGUGUCAAAAGUGAAGGUAGAGAAGCUUCCACUUCAGUCUCAGGAACCAGCGUGGCGUGAAGGCACUACUGCUUCAAUGUCCUGUGUCUCCCCAGGGUCGACGACGGUUGUAUCGCAUUUAAGGGGUUUGUGCAUGUGAGUGCAGGUGCCAUUUGAAGCCAGAAGAGGGCGUUGGAUCCUCAGAACUGGAGGAAGUUGUGAGCUACCUGAUGUGGGUGCAGUACACACUCUUAAUUCCAGAACCAUUUCUCCAGCCUGCAUGUGAUUUUUAAAGUCAUACAUUCUGUUGUUUUGACGCAUUGCGCCUAUAGAUUUGCAUGUGUUGAGCCACCACUGCAACCUCCAACCUCCAACUUGAUAGCCGUGGAUGAUCUUUUUGAUAUGCUGUUGUAUUCAAACCCUUGGUGUUUUGUUAAUAAUGUUUGCAUCUAUACUCAUCAGCAA
rnacentral:lncRNA from 1 species